rnacentral:rRNA from 1 species
GACGAACGCUGGCGGCGUGCCUAAUACAUGCAAGUCGAACGCAGUUGCGAAUGGGUGCGUAACGCGUAGGUAACUGCCUGGUAGCGGGGGGUAACUAUUGGAAACGACAGCUAAUACCGCAUACUACCAGAUGGACCUGCGUUGUAUUAGCUAGUUGGUGGGGUAACGGCUCACCAAGGCAACGAUACAUAGCCUACCUGGGGAGGUGAUCGGCCACCCUGGGACGGGGACACCGCCCAGAAUCCUACGGGAGGCAGCAGUAGGGAAUCUUCGGCAAUGGGGGGAACCCUUACCGAGCAACGCCGCGUGGUGGAAGAAGGUUUUCGGGUCGUAAAGCUCUGUUGUUAGGGAAGCGUUACUUAACCAGAAAGGGACGGCUAACUACGUGCCAGCAGCCGCGGUAAUAC